rnacentral:rRNA from 1 species
AUGCCACGGGAAUUGUCCUCGGACGUGCUCGCGAGCAUCGUCCAUCGGCUCCCUCCGAGCACCCGGCGGCUGACCCGCCUGGUCUGCCGGCACUGGCGCGACGUGGUGGACACGCGCACGGCCAAGAUGCAGAGCCGCGCCAAGCUUCUCGUCGGCACCGGGGAGGGCUCCGCGUACGUCGUCGUGGACGACGAUCCAUCAAAAUCAGCAGGGAGCCCCGGAAGAUAUCUUUGGGAAAACGACGCCAACGCCCGCCCUGGCCCCCGCGAAGGCACGAUGCCGAUGGUCGUCGGCACCUGCAACGGCCUGAUCUGCCUCCGCGGCAAGCGGAAGCCCGACGGCGUCAUCACCCUGGUCAACCCGGUCACCGGCGAGAGGCUGUCUCUCCCGCCGCUGCCGUCCGCCGCCGGCGCCCCGGAGAGGACCUGCUUGGUAGGCUGGCACGAGGCGUACGGCUUCGGGUACCACCCCACGGCCAGGCGGCACAAGAUCGUGCAUGUGGACGCAUACGCUAAGAGAGGAAACUUGCAGCAAUUGAAGGUGUUCACGUUGGGGGAGUCGUCAUGGCGGGAUGUUGCCACGGGCUCUCUCCCGAGAUGCAAUUACAGCGCCGGCAUCGUGGGCGUCGACACCAUGUACUGGGCCGCCAAGAAGGGAAAGAAGCUCAUGGCAUUCGACCUCGGCCGCGAGCGCCUCACCUUCAUCAAGUCGCCACCGGAUGCGCCUUCUGACGGCUGGCACCUGACGGAGGUGCGGGCAAGGUUGGCGAUCCUGUAUCCUCUCUUGCCGGCUGAAAAGUCUGAGGUGUUGGUUCUAGAGGACAAUUUGACAAUGAAAGAGCACAAUUGGAGCCGGUUGUACAUAGUCGAGUCGGACAUACCACCGCACUCAUCGCCGAUGUACUGUCAUCUCACUAGGGAUGUCGUGAGUAAACACAAGAUGAGCAACGAUAACGGGGUGGUGGAGAUCCAUGAGAAAAGUUGGGGAAGGAUAAUCCUUAGUAGACACACAUUCGUCUACGUGGAGACAACAGUGCCGCUAUGUGUUUAUAGAUAGACGACGCCCAUGGAGUUGCCCCCGGACGUCCUCGUGAGCAUCAUCCUGCGGCUCCCUCCGAGCUCCCGGCGGCUGACCCGCCUGGUCUGCCGGCAAUGGCGCGACGUCGUCGACAUGCGCACGGCGGAGAUGCAGAGCCGCGCCAAGCCUCUGGUCACCACCCCGGCGGGCCGGCUCCGCGAGGAGGGCGGCGCCAUCACCCUGAUCAACCCGGUCACCGCCGAGAGGCUGCCUCUCCCGCCGCUGCCGUCGCACGCCACGUUACGGCACUUCACGAUACGCGAGCACGCGAGGUACGGCUUCGGGUACCACCCCACGACCGGGCGGCACAAGGUCGUGCAUGUGGGGGAUUACGGCAGGAAGGGGAACCCUCAGGUGAAGGUGUUCACGUUGGGGGAGGCGUCGUGGCGCGACGUCGCCACGGCCCCUGGCCCGAGAUGCGACUACCGCGCCCGCAUCGUGGGCGUCGACGGCACCAUGGACGUUGUUGCAAAAUUUCUUUUGCAACAUGAUCCUUGUUGCAAAAAACAUCUCCGCCAGUACCUGUCACCAUUGCAACCCUAUCUAUCAACAGGAAGAUAUCUUUGGAAAAACAACGCGCGCCCCUAUGAAGGCAUAAUGGUCGUCGGCACCUGCAACGGCCUGAUCUGCCUGUGCGACAACCAGGAGGAGGGCGGCGCCAUCACCCUGAUCAACCCGGUCACCGCCGAGAGGCUGCCUCUCCCGCCGCUGCCGUCGCACGCCACGUUACCGGACUUCACGAUACGCGAGCACGCGAGGUACGGCUUCGGGUACCACCCCACGACCGGGCGGCACAAGGUCGUGCAUGUGGGGGAUUACGGCAGGAAGGGGAACCCUCAGGUGAAGGUGUUCACGUUGGGGGAGGCAUCGUGGCGCGACGUCGCCACGGCCCCUGGCCCGAGAUGCGACUACCGCGCCCACAUCGUGGGCGUCGACGGCACCAUGUACUGGGCCGCCAAGCGCGGCAAGAAGCUCAUGGCGUUCGACCUCGACUGCGAGCGCCUCACCUUCAUCAAGUCGCUGCCGGAGGCGUCGUCUGACAGCUGGCACCCCGCGGCGGUGCUGGGGAGGCUGGGGAUCCUGUUUUUUCACGAGCGGAUUCAAAAGUGUGAGUAUGUAUUCACAACUGCAUUGACAUUUUUGCACGUGAAAAAUGUGACGAACGAUGUAAUUGACGGCAAGCGCGGCAUGAUCUACAUCCCGCGCCAGAAGAUUUCAAAAUUGACCUUAACAAGCGACAUAAAGGGUCUGAAGCGGGCGCGCCGUGACGCCAAGAAAAACAAGGGGCAUCCGAAGAAGCAAAAGGUCAACCCUGGUGAAUAA